rnacentral:lncRNA from 1 species
CCUUCUUCUCCUUGUUCGACAUCUUCUCCUUCUUGGGGCCCUUCACCUUGAUGGUGUUGCCGAAGGCGUCAAUCACCUCAUCCUGCUGCUUGAUCUCCACCUUCUCCUUAAUGGCGAUCAGGUUGUCACCCUCGCGCACCAUCUUGCCGCCGCCCACGAUCCACCGCUCAUUGCACAGCGCGGACACGAACUCGUUGUGGUGAGAGAUGACGACGAUGCCGCCGCCGAAGUCCUUGAUGGCGCCGGCCAGAGCGCCCAGCGAGUCGCGGUCCAGGUAGUUGGUGGGCUCGUCCAGCACGAUCAGGUGGGGGUUCUGCCAGGUGGCGGCAGCCAGCACGACCUUCACCUUCUGGCCGCCCGACAGGCCGCGGAUGUGGCUGUGCAGGGCGAACUCCGACUCCAGGCCCAGGUCCUCCAGGUGCUUCUGGAUCGAGGCGGUGGUGAGCGGGCGGGUGAACAGGCCCAGCGCGGCGGCCUCCUUGAUGUCCAGCUCGUUCACCAGCUUCUCGUAGCCCAGCUCCACCAGGGUGUCGCGGGGCAGCCAGCUGGUCUGGUCGGCGGCGGUGUUGGCCCACUGCACCUCGUACUCGUACGACUUCUUCAGCUUGCGGCGAGCCAGCAGCUUCUCCACCGAGCGCUUGACCUGUUGUGUGAAGAGGAGCGAGGAAAAUGGGAGCG